rnacentral:tRNA from 1 species
UAGCUCAGAUGGUAGAGUGUUUGCCUUGUAUGCACAAGGCCCUGGGUUCAAUCCCCAG